CCCGCCUCCGCCGUUGGUGCAAUAUCGGUUGGGAGUGGUUGCACCUUGUGCCACUGAGUGUGGCCUUGGGGACUUUCUCAGCCAAGCCUGUUCUGGGUUUUGGCCUCCUGGGGUUUUCUGUAGCAGGCUGAGAUGCUAUGCAUGGCGCUGGCUGGUAAACAAUCUUCUUAUUAACGCGGGUGGGUGUCUGGGGACAGCUCAGAGCAAGCCGGAGCCUCAGGCCUGCCGGGCAGAGGGAGAUGGUCCCAGCAAGCGCAGCCAGCCUGCAAUCUGCGACUGAGCUACAUCUGAGCAACCAGAGGGAUCAGGAGGAUUGCAAUAAUUUGGACUAACUACUAUCAGCAACCUGCAAUUAUUGGAGUCCUUGGGGAAUCCGCUCCCCUCUGUACUCAAACUUGCUAAUUCUGGACAACCGUUUAACCUUAUGGCCACGUCUUAAAAGAUUAC
rnacentral:lncRNA from 1 species